rnacentral:rRNA from 1 species
AACGAACGCUGGCGGCAGGCCUAACACAUGCAAGUCGAGCGAACCCUUCGGGGUUAGCGGCGGACGGGUUAGUAACGCGUGGGAAUAUACCCUUUGGUACGGAAUAGCCUCGGGAAACUGAGAGUAAUACCGUAUGUGCCCUUCGGGGAAAGGAUUAUCGCCAAAGGAUUAGCCCGCGUUGGAUUAGAUAGUUGGUGGGGUAAGUGGCCUACCAAGUCUACGAUCCAUAGCUGGUUUGAGAGGAUGAUCAGCAACACUGGGACUGAGACACGGCCCAGACUCCUACGGGAGGCAGCAGUGGGGAAGUCUUAGACAAUGGGCGCAAGCCUGAUCUAGCCAUGCCGCGUGGACGAUGAAGGCCUUAGGGUUGUAAAGUCCUUUCAGAUGGGAAGAUAAUGACGGUACCAUCAGAAGAAGCCCCGGCUAACU